rnacentral:lncRNA from 1 species
CUCGUGGAGGCUCCCGUGGUGCUAGAGGCUUGAUGAAUGGAUACCGGGGCCCUGCCAAUGGAUUCAGAGGAGGAUAUGAUGGUUACCGCCCUUCAUUCUCUAACACUCCAAACAGUGGUUAUACACAGUCUCAGUUCAGUGCUCCCCGGGAUUACUCUGGCUAUCAACGGGAUGGAUAUCAGCAGAAUUUCAAGCGAGGCUCUGGGCAGAGUGGACCACGGGGAGCCCCACGAGGUAAUAUUUUGUGGUGGUGAUCCUAGCUCCUAAGUGGAGCUUCUGUUCUGGCCUUGGAAGAGCUGUUAAUAGUCUGCAUGUUAGGAAUACAUUUAUCCUUUCCAGACUUGUUGCUAGGGAUUAAAUGAAAUGCUCUGUUUCUAAAACUUAAUCUUGGACCCAAAUUUUAAUUUUUGAAUGAUUUAAUUUUCCCUGUUACUAUAUAAACUGUCUUGAAAACUAGAACAUAUUCUCUUCUCAGAAAAAGUGUUUUUCCAACUGAAAAUUAUUUUUCAGGUCCUAAAACCUGCUAAAUGUUUUUAGGAAGUACUUACUGAAACAUUUUUGUAAGACAUUUUUGGAAUGAGAUUGAACAUUUAUAUAAAUUUAUUAUUCCUCUUUCAUUUUUUUGAAACAUGCCUAUUAUAUUUUAGGGCCAGACACCCUUUAAUGGCCGGAUAAGCCAUAGUUAACAUUUAGAGAACCAUUUAGAAGUGAUAGAACUAAUGGAAUUUGCAAUGCCUUUUGGACCUCUAUUAGUGAUAUAAAUAUCAAGUUAUUUCUGACUUUUAAACAAAACUCCCAAAUUCCUAACUUAUUGAGCUAUACUUAAAAAAAAUUACAGGUUUAGAGAGUUUUUUGUUUUUCUUUUACUGUUGGAAAACUACUUCCCAUUUUGGCAGGAAGUUAACCUAUUUAACAAUUAGAGCUAGCAUUUCAUGUAGUCUGAAAUUCUAAAUGGUUCUCUGAUUUGAGGGAGGUUAAACAUCAAACAGGUUUCCUCUAUUGGCCAUAACAUGUAUAAAAUGUGUGUUAAGGAGGAAUUACAACGUACUUUGAUUUGAAUACUAGUAGAAACUGGCCAGGAAAAAGGUACAUUUUUCUAAAAAUUAAUGGAUCACUUGGGAAUUACUGACUUGACUAGAAGUAUCAAAGGAUGUUUGCAUGUGAAUGUGGGUUAUGUUCUUUCCCACCUUGUAGCAUAUUCGAUGAAAGUUGAGUUAACUGAUAGCUAAAAAUCUGUUUUAACAGCAUGUAAAAAGUUAUUUUAUCUGUUAAAAGUCAUUAUACAGUUUUGAAUGUUAUGUAGUUUCUUUUUAACAGUUUAGGUAAUAAGGUCUGUUUUCAUUCUGGUGCUUUUAUUAAUUUUGAUAGUAUGAUGUUACUUACUACUGAAAUGUAAGCUAGAGUGUACACUAGAAUGUAAGCUCCAUGAGAGCAGGUACCUUGUCUGUCUUCUCUGCUGUAUCUAUUCCCAACGCUUGAUGAUGGUGCCUGGCACAUAGUAGGCACUCAAUAAAUAUUUGUUGAAUGAA